UCAGUUCAGACUGCAGGCUGCAACUCGCCUGCACGAAGUCGGAAUUGCUAGUAAUCGUAGGUCAGCAUACUACGGUGAAUACGUUCCCGGGCCUUGUACACACCGCCCGUCACACCAUGAGAGUCGGGAACACCCGAAGUCCGUAGCCUAACAGCAAUGAGGGCGCGGCCGAAGGUGGGUUCGAUAAUUGGGGUGAAGUCGUAACAAGGUAUC
rnacentral:rRNA from 1 species